UCAGGUGAGCCGGGACAACCUUCUUCCUCCGCCCAGCCGCCUCAGUGACCAUCGUCAAGUCUGCCACAGGAGGAGUUAUUUUACAGAGCAACCUGUUUUCUUCCUCGCAGGUUUAACGUCAAUUAUUUAAUUGUUUUACUAUCUUUUAUAAAUUAAAAAUCUAGAACUCCGCAUGUGUUAGAAAUAGUGUGGACCUUGGUAGAGGUUUUGUUAACUUAAAUUUUUAAGAUUAAUAAAUGAAGAUUUGUAUGGUAUUUAAACAA